ACGUACACUCCUGCGAGGCAGCAGUGGGGAAUUUUGGACAAUGGGCGAAAGCCUGAUCCAGCAAUGCCGCGUGAGUGAAGAAGGCCUUCGGGUUGUAAAGCUCUUUUGUCAGGGAAGAAACGGUGAAAGCUAAUAUCUUUUGCUAAUGACGGUACCUGAAGAAUAAGCACCGGCUAACUACGUGCCAGCAGCCGCGGUAAUACGUAGGGUGCAAGCGUUAAUCGGAAUUACUUGGCGUAAAGCGUGCGCAGGCGGUUUUGUAAGUCUGAUGUGAAAUCCCCGGGCUCAACCUGGGAAUUGCAUUGGAGACUGCAAGGCUAGAAUCUGGCAGAGGGGGGUAGAAUUCCACGUGUAGCAGUGAAAUGCGUAGAUAUGUGGAGGAACACCGAUGGCGAAGGCAGCCCCCUGGGUCAAGAUUGACGCUCAUGCACGAAAGCGUGGGGAGCAAACAGGAUUAGAUACCCCGGUAGUCCCAUGAU
rnacentral:rRNA from 1 species